GUGCUUGCUUUAGCAGCACAGACUUAAAUUGGAAUGAUACAAAGAUUAGCAUGGCACCUGCUCAAGGAUAACAUGCAAAUUUGUGAAGCAUUCCACAUUUAA
ensembl:snRNA U6 U6 spliceosomal RNA